UGCUAAUGGAGUCUCAUGAGCAAGUCCUUUACCUCUGUAACUUUUUCUUAAUUCUUGCAGAAUGAAAUUUUUAUUGCAGUAUUUUAAUUUGUACAGAUGAUCUCAUCAGCCAAUUGAGGGAUUUUGACCAAGUGAUGCUCUUGAAAGGAGUGAAACAAGAGGAUGUGGUAAAUUGUCUUCAAAGAAAAAGCUUCUCAAAAGGUCUUAAAGCAGCUUGAAGAAUGGUCUGGGAUCUUAGGACUGAGAGAUCCUCUGGCUGAGAAAAAGCUACACCACAUCAGUGCUGGAUAUCAACCACAAACCGUUUCCAGACAAGAGAGAAGAAGAUCAAUGAUGGGGAGAUGAAACCAGUUUAGAUGCGAUGAUAAGGAAUCAUUAUUUUCUGAAACAGUAUCAAAUGUCUUAUAUGUAUCACAUGAUCUGUAUCACAGUUGACUGGAUGGGACUGUGUGACUUUUAAGGACAUUUCAUCACUCAUCUGUGUGAACUGAUUAAUAUAUGAGGUUAAUGUAUUUUUGAUGAUAAUUAUUUUCCUUGAAUCUUAUUUGUCUUGAUGCUACUUUAUCAACUUUAUAGUCUAUGCUUCAAUAAAAUGAAAAUGGUGAA